rnacentral:piRNA from 1 species
UCUGAGAGACCGGUUGACAAAGC